AUCAGGAGGAAGUGACAUCAUGUUAGUGGAGCCAUGUUUAAAAGCUGCCAACUGAGCUGCCAACCUAGGCUGUGCUUUGAGGCAUCAUAAGCACAUUCCCGACACCAGCAUCUCGUGAGCACGGCUGGCGCACUCAACUCAAGCAUUCGAUUAUUUUCCCGGC